rnacentral:rRNA from 1 species
UACGUAGGGUGCAAGCGUUUAAUCGGAAUUACUGGGCGUAAAGCGUGCGCAGGCGGUUUUGUAAGUCUGUUGUGAAAUCCCCGGGCUCAACCUGGGAAUGGCAAUGGAGACUGCAAGGCUAGAGUUUGGCAGAGGGGGGGUAGAAUUUCCACGUGUAGCAGUUGAAAAUGCGUAGAUAUGUGGAGGAACACCGAUGGCGAAGGCAGCCCCCCUGGGUCAAAACUGACGCUCAUGCACGAAAGCGUGGGGAGCAAACAGG